CCUACGGGAGGCAGCAGUGAGGGAUAUUGGUCAAUGGGCGCGAGCCUGAACCAGCCAAGUCGCGUGAAGGAUGACGGCCCUACGGGUUGUAAACUUCUUUUGUAAAGGAAUAAAGUGAGGCACGUGUGCCUGUAUGUAUGUACUUUAUGAAUAAGGAUCGGCUAACUCCGUGCCAGCAGCCGCGGUAAUACGGAGGAUCCGAGCGUUAUCCGGAUUUAUUGGGUUUAAAGGGAGCGUAGAUGGGUUGUUAAGUCAGUUGUGAAAGUUUGCGGGUCAACCGUAAACUUGCAGUGGAUACUGGCAGUUGUGAGUACAGUUGAGGUAGGCGGAAUGCGUGGUGUAGCGGUGAAAUGCUUAGAUAUCACGAAGAACGCCGAUUGCGAAGGCAGCUUACUGA
rnacentral:rRNA from 1 species